rfam:Paenibacillus sp. MY03 contig53, whole genome shotgun sequence.
CACGAUAAUGGCAAACCUGUCGAAAGGCAGGGACGCAAAGCUAUAGGGCCUUCUAAACAGAUGGCAGCCUGGCCACCGAAA